UGAGUUUGAUGAAGUUGUUCUGGUCUUUCGGGGCAAGUGAACACUUCUCUCAAUCCAUCUUACACCUGUGCACUUUGGGGGGAAGACCUGGAUUUAAGUUGGAUAACGACGGGUAAUCCUUAGUCUCCUCUUUCAUACCAAAUAACAGUCUUAGAAAGUCUAUUUUGCUUGAUGCAAAUUAAAUACAACUUUCAGCAACGGAUCUCUUGGCUCUCGCAUCGAUGAAGAACGCAGCGAAAUGCGAUAAGUAAUGUGAAUUGCAGAAUUCAGUGAAUCAUCGAAUCUUUGAACGCACCUUGCACUCCUUGGUAUUCCGAGGAGUAUGCCUGUUUGAGUGUCAUGAAAUUAUCAACCUUUUAGUGUUAUUACUAUGAGGCUUGGACUUGGAAGCUGCUGGCUGUUAGUCGGCUCUUCUUAAAUAUAUUAGCUGCUUGUCCGUGAGUUGGCUCAGAGUGUGAUAAGUAUCUGCACUUGGUGGCUGCUUGCAUUGGAUGUGGCUUCUAAUCGUCUUCGGACAACUUUUAAGAUCUGACCUCAAAUCAGGUAGGAUUACCCGCUGAACUUAAGCAUAUCAAUAAGCGGAGGAAAAGAAACUAACAAGGAUUCCCCUAGUAACGGCGAGUGAAGCGGGAAAAGCUCAAAUUUAAAAUCUGGCUGUCUUAGGCAGUCCGAGUUGUAAUCUGGAGAAGUGUUUUCUGUGCUGGACCGUGUACAAGUCUCUUGGAAUAGAGCGUCAUAGAGGGUGAGAAUCCCGUCUUUGACACGGACUACCAGGGCUAUAUGAUACACUCUCGAAGAGUCGAGUUGUUUGGGAAUGCAGCUCAAAAUGGGUGGUAAAUUCCAUCUAAAGCUAAAUACAGGCGAGAGACCGAUAGCGAACAAGUACCGUGAGGGAAAGAUGAAAAGCACUUUGGAAAGAGAGUUAAACAGUACGUGAAAUUGCUGAAAGGGAAACGCUUGAAGUCAGUCGCGUUAGUUGAGACUCAGCCUUGCUUUUGCUUGGUGCAUUUCUUGACUAAUGGGUCAACAUCAAUUUUGGCCACUGGAAAAAGGCUGGGGGAAUGUGGCUCCUCCGGGAGUGUUAUAGCCCUUGGUUGUAUACAGUGACUGGGAUUGAGGACCGCAGUGCGCCUUUAUGGUCGG
rnacentral:rRNA from 1 species